rnacentral:rRNA from 1 species
CAGCAGCCGCGGUAAUACGAAGGGGGCUAGCGUUGUUCGGAUUUACUGGGCGUAAAGCGCACGUAGGCGGACUUUUAAGUCAGGGGUGAAAUCCCGGGGCUCAACCCCGGAACUGCCUUUGAUACUGGAAGUCUUGAGUAUGGUAGAGGUGAGUGGAAUUCCGAGUGUAGAGGUGAAAUUCGUAGAUAUUCGGAGGAACACCAGUGGCGAAGGCGGCUCACUGGACCAUUACUGACGCUGAGGUGCGAAAGCGUGGGGAGCAAAUAGGAUUAGAUACCCCAGUAGUCCCUGUCUCUUAUAA